rnacentral:rRNA from 1 species
AGUGAACGCUGGCGGUAGGCCUAACACAUGCAAGUCGAACGGCAGCACAGUAAGAGCUUGCUCUUACGGGUGGCGAGUGGCGGACGGGUGAGGAAUACAUCGGAAUCUACUUUUUCGUGGGGGAUAACGUAGGGAAACUUACGCUAAUACCGCAUACGACCUACGGGUGAAAGCAGGGGAUCUUCGGACCUUGCGCGAUUGAAUGAGCCGAUGUCGGAUUAGCUAGUUGGCGGGGUAAAGGCCCACCAAGGCGACGAUCCGUAGCUGGUCUGAGAGGAUGAUCAGCCACACUGGAACUGAGACACGGUCCAGACUCCUACGGGAGGCAGCAGUGGGGAAUAUUGGACAAUGGGCGCAAGCCUGAUCCAGCCAUACCGCGUGGGUGAAGAAGGCCUUCGGGUUGUAAAGCCCUUUUGUUGGGAAAGAAAAGCAGCAGGUUAACAUCCCGCUGUUCUGACGGUACCCAAAGAAUAAGCACCGGCUAACUUCGUG